GACGAACGCUGGCGGCGUGCUUAACACAUGCAAGUCGAACGGACAGGCCCUGCUUUUGUGGGGUGCUCGAGUGGCGAACGGGUGAGUAACACGUGAGUAACCUGCCCUUGACUUUGGGAUAACUUCAGGAAACUGGGGCUAAUACCGGAUAGGAGCUCCUGCUGCAUGGUGGGGGUUGGAAAGUUUCGGCGGUUGGGGAUGGAUUCGCGGCUUAUCAGCUUGUUGGUGGGGUAGUGGCUUACCAAGGUUUUGACGGGUAGCCGGCCUGUGAGGGUGACCGGCGAUACUGGGACUGAGAUACGGCACAGGUUCCUACGGGAGGCAGCAGUGGGGAAUAUUGAACAAGGGGCGGAGGCCUGAUGCAGAAACGCGGCGUGCGGGAUGACGGCCUUCGGGUUGUAAACCGCUUUCGCAUGUGACGAAGCGUGAGUGACGGUAAUGGGGAAAGAAGCACCGGCUAACUACGU
rnacentral:rRNA from 1 species